rnacentral:lncRNA from 1 species
AUCUUUAAUAGCAUUUCCAGUAUUUAUUGCCAUUCACCAUUUAAGGACGUCGAUUUGGACAUUUACAUUGUCAUACGACAUAAAACGAAAUGACAAUAACCAAUUAGAACCGCAUCCAAGGAAAACGCUCAUUAGCGCACCAAAAGCUCACCAGAAUGGUGUAUUAUUUCCCUGGAAACAUUUUGUCAAACGCUUGAUUUGUUUCUUUAAAAAACUUUUGUUUAUUGCCCCCCCCAAAAAAAAAAAGGUUGAAAGCUCCAGUUUGCCCACAGCCUCACAUUACAUGAAUAUUAAAAAGAGGAAAAAACGAGGAACUUGAGCAUAUAUGCCUUUAAAAAGUAUCCCAGCUAGUGGAAUCCGAAGCUAGACCAACCUUUCACAAGAUGCCACGCCACAAUCGGUGAGAUUCCUUUUCCAAUUUUGUUAACAUCCUCGAAAGAACAAAAAGAAUAUUUCUCAAAUUAAUUAAUUGAAUUACUUUCAAAACUUUAACCAAACUAAGCCUCGAAUAUAUUACAAUCAAUGAUGAUAAUUCAGUGUUAUGUACUAAUCACUCAAUUGGGAAGGGGGGAAAAAAAACUCCAUACUACGCCUUAACUGUCCUAGGAAAUUAGAAAUAACUCACAUUUUUACAGUGGUGCCUAAGAAUGUAAAUGUAAUGUGCUCAUCACAUUUCUGUGUUGGGGUUGUUUCCAGCAAGAAUGAGAGAGAUUUCGAGCCCACGACUGAAGGCUUGGUUGAACAUGAGACGGAUUUGGAACGUGGAUAAGAAUGUAAAUGUAAUGUGCUCAUCACAUUUCUGUGUUGGGGUUGUUUCCAGCAAGAAUGAGAGAGAUUUCGAGCCCACGACUGAAGGCUUGGUUGAACAUGAGACGGGUUUGGAACGUGGAUAUGAACGGGAACCAUGAAAACAUUGCGAUGGGGAUGAAGAUGAGCAUUCCCAUUCCCGCAUCGUAUAGUCGGGCAAUUGAACGGACGGACUUCCAUAGUCCCAGC